AUUGAACGCUGGCGGCAUGCCUUACACAUGCAAGUCGAACGGUAACAGGUCUUUCGGGAUGCUGACGAGUGGCGAACGGGUGAGUAAUACAUCGGAACGUGCCUAGUAGUGGGGGAUAACUACUCGAAAGAGUGGCUAAUACCGCAUGAGAUCUAUGGAUGAAAGCAGGGGACCUUCGGGCCUUGUGCUACUAGAGCGGCCGAUGGCAGAUUAGGUAGUUGGUGGGAUAAAAGCUUACCAAGCCUACGAUCUGUAGCUGGUCUGAGAGGACGAUCAGCCACACUGGGGACUGAGACACGGCCCAGACUCCUACGGGAGGCAGCAGUGGGGAAUUUUGGACAAUGGGCGCAAGCCUGAUCCAGCAAUGCCGCGUGCAGGAUGAAGGCCUUCGGGUUGUAAACUGCUUUUGUACGGAACGAAAAGUCUUGGGUUAAUACCCUGGGAUCAUGACGGUACCGUAAGAAUAAGCACCGGCUAACUACGUGCCAGC
rnacentral:rRNA from 1 species